ensembl:lncRNA
GUCUCGAUUAGAUUGUGGAUUAGAUUUGAUAUCUUACAGAGAACAUAAAGUUCAGAACAAAGAUUAUGUCUUUUAGGUCAGGUCACUGUUUAAAACUCACAAUCAGUGUGACAUUUUUACAUAGCUUCUGUUUCUUUGUAAAGCACUGCCUCAUAAAGCUCAUUGUGAAGAAUGCCUACACCUGCGUUACACAACACCAUCUCAUGGAUGAACAAGGGUGGGUAAAGCAGGUCUACAUCCAGCGCACCCUUAUCUUCUGUAACAAAGCUGCUGAAGAGGAUUAUGCUGCUGUUGCCUCAGAAACUUAGUCACCAGUGGAAAGAGAGCACAGAGAGGGGUGGGGAGUCCACGCAGAGAGUAGAAACAGACAGGCAGGCGAUACUACUGCUACAACCCUUCACACACACACAGCACCAGCUUUUUCUUUCUUUCUUUCUUUUUUUUAGGCUGACACAGAUUUUUUCUAAAACCUGCCACCAUGUGGCACCCUUUGAUUAUCGGCAUCAUGACAGUGAACACCUCUCUAACCGUCUUCUACUGGGCCUUCAUCCUGGGCGAUGCUUACUACAAGUGGCUGAUGGAGCCAGAAGACAAGCCCAAGAAGGUGGUCACCCCAGCUUGAGGGAGCCAGUAUGGAUCUACCUGAAUGAGUGACUGGAUGUUAUUUGCUUAGGAAUACUCUGCUCAGCUAGUAGUGCUUACAGUGAAUUUCUGCUUCUUUUUUUAUGUAUUCUUUUUUUUUUUUUAACUGGAAAAGCCUUGGAUUCCUGUUUUGAACUGAAAAAAUAACCUAAAGCAAUCUGCAAGUUGAUGAGAAGAAUCAUUCUUACAGGUAAAGUGUCAAUUUAUCUUAAUAUUUAUUUCGCAUCAUUUUAUUGUGUUUUAGCUACAUUUGUUGCUUGCAGUGUGAAUCAACACACACAUACACACUUCACACACCAUCCGCAGGCAACAGGUCCUUCAGGUGACACUAAAUGAACCGUUUAAGCUUUCUGCUGACUCGGUGAAAAGGUUUUGUUGGUGACAGUGGCAUGAGUCAAGCAAAUCCUGUUAGGAUUACUAAACUACUAAACACCACCUCUAAACUGGCACAGUUGGUGUUACUUUCGUAACAGCUUCAUCCUGAGACACAUUCAGAAACCCUCGUCUCAUCUCUCGUUUGCAUCUCUCCUGAAAGCUUAUUUUUCACUCUUCCUCCUUUUCCUUUUUCUCUCUAUUUUAUUUUAUUUUUUACAUCUCUCCACAACAUGUCGCACGUCUUCUACUGGGGUAUGCACCCAGUCUCUUGGUUCAUUCUUUUCGCCAAUAUAGCCGUAACGGUCAUUGAAUGGAAGUUUCUUGCCUCUCAGUUUUACAAACUUAACUGGAAAAAGGAAGAACAACAAGCCAAUGCCUAAAAUCCUGGUGGAAACCACAUCCACAUCCUGAUGCUGCACUGAGAAUAUUUAGCUGCUUCUGUACAGUUCACCCCAGAAUUCAAAAACAAAAAACCAGAGGAAUCGUCUCAACUCUUUGCUGCAGACUGGAUAUUUGGCCCCAAACCAGUGGAGGAUGAUUCAGAGGGAGGGGAUGCAGAAAUAGAGGAAGAGAGGCGACUCAGCGUUUCCAGCAAGCUGUUGGAGAAAGAUGAGAUCAGAAUGGAGGAAGAAAAAGAAGGCCAGCUGCCUGGUUUCCACCAGGGAGACGCAGGCCGCUGUCGUCCAUCCACCCCUCCGCUGAGAAGCGCCAUUGCUUCGUCAUACCCUGGAGAAAAAAGGAUUUCCACACAUAGCGUGACCUUCGCCUGCCCCGUGGCCCCUUACGUCACUUCCCUUUGAGUUUUUUCAUCACAGCAGUUUUUAUUACGUCUUAAUCACAGUGCAGUGAUCAGUGAUGUCCUCGCUGUAGUGAUGCAGAGGCUGAGGCACUCUUGUUUUAUGCUGGUGUUAUAGUUAGCGUGCAAAAAAUGUACAAGAAAAUGUUGUUAGUAAGCACGAUCCAUACUGUCAGUCUGUUUCUACUGCACCAUGCUGAAAUUCGCUGUCCAGCUGCUCGUGGUAAAAACUGUAAACAAAUUAAGUUUCAAGUAAAAAUAUCAGUUAUGUUAAUAACUUAACUUUACAUCUAAAAAUGUUCAUUGGAAACACACUGUGUCCAGUUCGUCCACAAGGCUAGACAGAAAGUGUUGUGAAAUUGCAAAAUCAAAAAGACUUGUCAUGUUACAUGUGCUUGUAAUGUGUUUCUAAAGAAAACGUACAUCACUUCUCCUGGUGUUGGACUAAGCUUCUCCCCAAUAAACAACUCGAUAAUACACGCUCGUUCCUCCUGUCUUGUCUGCUUUCAUUAAUCCAUCUUACCUUCUCCUAAUACCUGCUUGUGCCCAGGGUGAUGACCUUGUUUAUAAAUGCAGAGGAUUAUUGCACUUGAGCAUAUUAAAUACAGCUGAGUGAUGUAAGAUAGAUAGAUAGAUAGAUAGAUAGAUAGAUAGAUAGAUAGAUAGAUAGAUAGAUAGAUAGAUAGAUAGAUUUCUACAGAGAGAAAAACAGGAAUCUUGUUCACAUGAGAUACAGCUUUGCAUUUAUUUUAAAUCUUACUUUAGCAGUCAUUAGUCAUAAGGCUGAUCAGCUGUGAAUUAGAGGAUCUUCACAGCUUCCUUGAUUCAUGCAAAGAGUUUCAUUCACGAUUUCCUGAAUUUUGAGUAAUUUUGCUGUUGUUACAAUGCUGACAUUGGAGAAUGUGAUAUUUCCUCCUGAUCUCUUUGUAUUUUGCACAGAACGUUCUGUGCGAUUAAAUCUUUGUGCCGGCUUCUUAAUACAGCGAUGACCCACAGAUAUUAACUGGACUCGCAGGCUGACAGCAGAGGCAGCCAGACUGCAAUGGACAGCUUAAACGUUCGUCACAAAGAGGAAGAUGGCACAGUGUUAUUUGAGUCAUAUAUCCCUCCUUCUCGGGAUGCUAUCCACCUGCCCACCUACGUCCUCUACUUGCUCAUAGCCGUCUUCGUCGUGUUUUCGGUUCUCUACGCCAUCACGGGCCACCUCAUCAAAGACCUCAUCCAUGACUGUGCAGACUGGCUGUUUGGGGAGCAGCCUGCAGAAGUGGUGGUGAACUACUGUGAGGCCAAGGAUAAGUUCAUGGCAGACUGGUCCCCACAAACCAGCCCUGAAGUAGAGGCAAUGGCCCGGGAAGAGGAGAACAAGGUGAUUGACAGAGACUUUAUGAAAUCCCCUGCCAUCUGGAUCAUCUCUACAGAACCACAAGGGGCAAAAACAGGACCCCGGGUGGUCUUUGGGAAUAGGACUUGAACCCAUCAGAGACUUGCUGUCGUUACAGACCUUCUGUAUGUGAUGUGAAUGUAUAAAUAUCUAGAUGGAUGAUGAAGGUAAAGAACCAUUUCUGUGUGAGGCUCAAAAUAGAUUAUUAGAUUUAAUUUCAAUAUUUUGCAAAAUAAGAUUAAAAAGUAAGAUUAAAGAUUUUAGUAUAAGCCUUCGUGUGGAUUUUUUUUAAAUAUAAAUGUUUUGUGGAACAUGUGCAUGUAGCACUGAUCUAUCAUGUGGAGUAGUAAACAAGUAUCUUGUGAAAAUAGUUCUGAAAAGUUAAGCCAUGAAAGUAAUGGUACAAUUACACUCUUCUCAAUAAUAAUGAUGAUUUGUCUGUUAACAAUAAUUAUCAUUAUUAUUAUUUUUAGGUAGCCUCAGUUGGUCUGCUGCUGAAUUUAUUUAUUAAUUAUUUAUGUUUGUGUUUAUAUUCAGCUUUUUCACGUUUGGAUAAGGUGUAACUUCGUAACUACUGUAUAGAAAUGUACACCGCACAAAAAGGACAAGGCAGCUAAUUUGGCAGCAGACAUUUCUAAACAGAAUAUAAUGCUGCACAGUAAACAGGACCACCCCACUUGCAUUUGAGAUGCAAUGGUAAGCGAGAAAAGCACCUCCUGUGGUGAGAUGCAUGGCACUGCACGCUGAGACAGUGACGUGGUCUAAUGUUAUUCCAAACUCGCAGUUUCUCAUUAAGUUUCUUCAUUUAAAUGUGAAUGUAACUGCCUCUCUUUUUGUGUAUAAUGGCUGAAGGCUUCAGCGGUCCUAUAAGGACAUCUAGUGUCUGCUGUAGUCAUUACAGCUGAAUAUUAUUUCAAACUGGAAAACCUCUGGAAAUAAGGUAACUCAUUUAAAAAAAAGAGAGAGAGAGAAAAUAUGACAAUGAUCUUCAGAAUCUUUGAUUUCAACAAUUAAUAUUUUAUAUCUUAAAAAUGUGGUAGGUAGUUGCACUUUAUUCUACAUUUCUCCUUUACUUUCAUGUAUUUAUUUAUUUGAGAAAGCUCUAAACUCACUCCACACGCUUUAGAGUUUUCAGACCUUUUCACAAACGUAUUCUACAUUUCAUAGACUAUUUAGUUUCUCAUAAGUCUAAAGAUCAGUCGUAGAUUUCGAUGCAAAAUCAAUCAGUAAAUAAAUAAAUAAAAGCUUUUCCAGUUGUCUGUAAA